rnacentral:lncRNA from 10 species
CUCAGACCAACUUGAUCACCACUGUGACUCCGGAGAAGAAGGCUGAGGAGGAGCGGGACGAGGAAGAGGACAAACGGAGGAAGGGGGAAGAAGUCACGCCCAUCUCGGCCAUCCGGCACGAGGGAAAGACUGACAGUGAGCGCACGGACACCGCAGCCGACGGGGAGACCACUGCCACUGAGGAGCUAGAAAAAACUCAAGAUGACCUGAUGAAACAUCAAACCAACAUUAGCGAGCUGAAAAGAACCUUCUUAGAAACCUCAACAGACACUGCCGUAACGAAUGAAUGGGAGAAGAGGCUUUCCACCUCCCCCGUGCGACUGGCCGCCAGGCAGGAGGAUGCCCCCAUGAUCGAACCACUUGUCCCUGAAGAGACCAAAGAAGAAACAGAGAUUUCUGAAAAAGUUAUAUUUUUGCAGCAAGGAAGCGCUCCAUUCCUUGAGUCUCAGGUAAAAACCAAACAUAAAGGAUUUUCCAGAAGAAAUUGGUCUUCAGACUUCAGUGUCAUUAAAAUGCUCUUAGUUUUUAUUUUCCCUUUAACAUUUAUCU